CCGACAUAUCCGAUGUGACAUAAAAAAAUUUUCGUCUCAUCUAAACAGGGCCACCUGCACAUUCGAAUUCGUUUCUUGGACCUGCCCUGCCCGCUGACCGACCGACCCCGGCCCACCUUCCAAGCCUGGUGACUGCCUUUUUAGAACAGUUAUAUAAUUUGUUUUCCUUUUUUUUUCUAACAAGAAAAUUGCGAGAAGUUAUUAUAUAAUUUGCUUUUUGGUACUGCUAUCUGAUGAGAGGAAGGGCGGCGUGGCGAGCUGGCAAAUGCAGGGUACGUUCGCGUGCUGCUCAUCGUAUCAUACGAGUACUAAGGCCCUCGUUUACUUCCACCUCAAGAUCUAAUUUUUUUGAAAAAAUUUUCGUCACAUCCAAUCCUUAGACGUAUGCAUAGAGUAUUGAGUAUAAAUAAAAAUAAAAACUAAUUCUAUAGUUUGGUCGAAAUUUACG
rnacentral:lncRNA from 1 species